ACUUCCCUGGGCAGUACCAGUAUCCUGGCCCACCAUCUAAUGGGCUGCCUUACUACAUGGGUGUCCCUCAAAUGGCAGGAAUGAAUCCUCCACAACAGCAAGUCAUGGGAGUCCAAGGUGCAGGUGGGAUUCCCAUGAUGCAACAGCAGCAGCCGCAGCAGGGUCCUCCACAAACAGAGGCCGUGAGAAGAUUCAAGCGCUUUCUGAUGAGGAGGGCUCACACCAUGAAACCUGAUUUGGAUAUUCAGAUUUCGACUGAGACAACUCCAUCCCCAACUACUUGUUAAGACAAUAUUCAAGUUUAGAGUGGACAAAUUGGAGAGGAACAAGGUGUCUACUGUAGAAGAUGGACGCAGGGGAAUUUCACAAAAUCGUCCACAACACUAUAAGUUAAUCAUAUCAGAUACCCUAGCGGUAUAACCGAAAGGUUGCUGAUUCAAAUCCCUGAGCCAUCUAGGUGAAAAAUCUGUUGAUGUGCCUUUGAGCAAGGUACUUAACCCUAAUUGCUCUGGAUAAGAGUGUCUGCUAAAUGCCUAAAAUUUAAACGUAUAACAUUGAAUACA